GCUUAGGUAGUAUACACAUAUUACUUUGGUCUUGUAAACUAAAAACGGAGAACCAAUUCUCCCCAAA
rnacentral:tRNA from 1 species